GAAACAAUCACUAAAAUUUAGCAAAAUCAAGCACAAGAGAUUAAUUGUGAAACACAUGGAAGAAACUACGGAGAGAUUAUCAACUAAGAAAGAAGAGAAAACAAUGACUUUCUAUGUUUACCAUCCAUGCUAUUGUCUUGAAGAAAUUUUCAAGACUUUUUUGAGGUGUUUUGGUAUUGAGUCCACGCAAACCAAAGAAGAAGAAGAUUCAUCAACAUCACUACUCAAACCUCAUGCAUGUGCAUGUGCAUCUGAUUCUAAUGUAGCCCUAAAAGAUCGUUAUUAUUCUUCAAGCAGCAAUAAGAAAAGCUCACAAGAAGAAGGGGUUGCAGAUCCACCACCAUCCACAUCUACUCAAACCAUUAAUCUAAGUUCAAUGGGAAGGGGUGGUCCUCGAAGGACUCCACUUACACAAGGUCCACCACCUCAACAUAAUUAAUAACAUGCGAGCUUAAUUAGGUCUGGUGGUGGUACUCGAGAUGGUCUUGCUCUAUGGCCAGGGAUUCAGAAUAAUAUUUGCAUAUGCAGAUUAUACCUCUUUUAAUUAUUCUAGCUAAUUAUUUCUCAAAAAAAAAAUAUUUAUAGCAUAAAUAUUUCUCAAAAUAUCAUAGCUUUGCUUUCUUUAACCUUUUCUUAUAGGCAUGGGAAUUAACUAACUGUUCUAUAUGUAUAAUCUUGCGCUUCUCUUAUUCUAUUUUUCAUCA